rnacentral:rRNA from 1 species
GAUGAACGCUAGCUACAGGCUUAACACAUGCAAGUCGAGGGGUAACGAGAGGAAAGCUUGCUUUCCUUGUCGACGACCGGCGCACGGGCGAGUAACGCGUAUCCAACCUGCCCCCAACUAGGGAAUAACCUUGCGAAAGUAAGACUAAUACCCUAUAAUUUCCUCAGAUGUCAUCUGACGAGGAAUAAAGAUUUAUCGGUUGUGGAUGGGGAUGCGUCUGAUUAGCUUGUUGGCGGGGUAACGGCCCACCAAGGCAAGGAUCAGUAGUGGUUCUGGAACGAAGGUCCCCCCCAUUGGAACUGCGACACGGUCCAAACGCCUACGGGAGGCAGCAUUGCGGAAUAUUGGUCAAUGGGCGGAAGCCUGAACCAGCCAAGUAGCGUGCAGGAUGACGGCCCUGUGGGUUGUAAACUGCUUUUAUACAGGAAUAAAGUUAGCCACGUGUGGUUAUUUGUAGGUACUGUAUGAAUAAGGACCGGCUAAUUCCGUGCCAGCCGCCGCCGUAA